ACCAAAACCCUACCUGAACUGCCGCACACCCACUCUUCCCCCUUCCCCACUUGACCGAUCACCGGAGCUACUUCCGGCGACCAUUCCGCUUCCGGCGGGGAACAGUAAACAACGCCGUUAGAAAACGUCGUUGCCAAAAGAGAAACCACGUGUGACCCUAAUACAGUUCCACCGCAUCCCUCGACGUCCUCCCCUUCCUCCCUCUUCUCUUCGUUGAGAAACGUCGCUCUAUUCAACAUUCAACAGCGAAAUCUCCAUAGGAAUCCACGUUUGAUGCAUGUCGUCUAAAAAUUUAGGGCUCUAACAGGUAUGUUUUGGGCAACUCUUCAGUUUUGCUUCUAAAAUUAGGGCUCCGAUGUUAAUUACUUUGGGUAAAUCUUUACAAUUUGAGGUAUGGUGUAUUCUGUAUUUGCAUUUCUAUUUUUAGAUUACAUGUAUCAGUUGGAUCUCACUUGGGUUGAUUGUAGCUCCUUCAGUUAUGUUUGCUUUUCAUCUAACAUUCACCAUGGCAACGGAUAGGAGGUACCAAGGGUUUUUGCCACACUAUUUUAACUUAGAUUUAUUAAAAUACCCAUCAUUUUAUCAAUCUGGUGUAGACAGAAGGUUUGAUAUUCUCAUUUGAUGACUGAUAGCUACAUUAAAGAUGAAUUAAAUUACAAAUAAAACUAGACAAGGCAUAAAAUGUGCAUAUAAGAUAUGUACCCUGUGCAUUAAUAUGUUGAUUAUAAGAAGUGCAUUUUAGUUUUGUGGGUGCAAUACCACAUAUAUAAAUACACAAUGUUGCUAUAAGUUCAUGUUUUAUAAGAAACAGUUAAAAAAAGGGUGCAAAAUACUUCUUUUUCUUAUUGCCAUAUACCUUUGUUUGUUUGUGCUUAAAGUGGAAAUGAUGUGUUGAAUGGGUCAUAUCAGGUUAAUGGUCGAGCAUGCUCGCAGGAGUUAAGUCAAAUGAAUAUGGUGAUUACGCCAUCUGAGAUGGCGGAACUGGGCGACAUCCUGGCAUCAGGCUGAUGUGGCAAGACAGAUGGCAAUUGAGGUGGAAAGCAUGGCUGGUUCUGCUAUCUGAGAAGAUAGAUUCGAGUGACGUGGCUCAUGGCUUCACACGUAUACCUUAUUCGUUGACAUGGGAUGAACACGUUGGAUCUGAUAUCUGAGAGAGUAGAACCGAGCCGUCUGCAAAUUGAAGGUGCACAGUGCUGUGUGGACGUGGCUAGGAGAGCUUCAAUGGUUUGAGAUGGCUAGAACCCGCUUAACUUUUUUUUAAUAUAUUUGUUAUACAAAUAAGAAUAAGUUGACACUCUCUAUAUCUCUAUUUGCUAGACAUUGGCCUCAACCAUAUCUAACUACUAUAUCUGUUGAUGCAUUGAGAAUAACCUCUAUUUAUAUCAAUGUUUUAAACCUUGGAUUUGAAUUACACCGUUUUCAGCCAUAUCAAUUGUGAGGUGACUACUCAAAACUUGUACCAUGUAUAGGGUUAAUCUUGACGGUAUUUUAUUGGGUACAAGAAAUGGAGCUUCAUAUUUGGAUGAACGGGUCAAACAGGAGUUCGGGUUAAAUUAAUCAUGUUUAUUUUUAUAUUUGAAUAGGUGUCAAGGUAGUGGGUAAUAUCAACGAUUGUGUUUACUAAAUUGUACGAUAGCGGCUACUAAAUUGUAGAUGUUGCGAUAAUACAUUUAGAUGCAUAUUGAAACAGGGAAAUAUCAAAGCAAAUCAAGGUUGCAACGCCUAAUAUCAUAGUAAUCCGGGCUGCAAAGUCUGGUGAAUCAUACAGGCAAGGUUUAUCGGUACUAGAACAAUGCAAACUGAAUCAGCAUGAUAGGAAUUCCAAAGGAUUGGUUCUUCUUUCAAUUUUAAUGAUAUGAGAUUUGAGGUGCAUUAAUCCAAAAGAUGAGUAUCAUCCUAUCUAUCUUUAAUAUUCAAGGUAACCAGCCAACUAGCCAAGUGACAAGGACUUCCAAGUCGAGCCGAAUCCCCAUCUCAAGUAGCAGGUUCCUUUAACCAGCCACAUCUUCAGCCAAUCUUAGCGAGUCGUACAAACCCCGCCCCGCAACGCGGGGGUUUAAACACUAGUUUAUAUUCAAACAGGACUUUGAAGUUAAAAAAAGAAAUGUUACAUAUUCUCAAUAAUCAAUUAUUGGCCUAACACUUAUUGUUGUAAAUUCAAGUAUAAAU